rnacentral:rRNA from 1 species
AGGACGAACGCUGGCGGCGUGCUUAACACAUGCAAGUCGAGCGGAAAGGCCCUUCGGGGUACUCGAGCGGCGAACGGGUGAGUAACACGUGAGUAACCUGCCCUUGGCUCUGGGAUAGCUCCGGGAAACCGGAAUUAAUACCGGAUAUGACUUCGGCCGACAUCGGCUGCGGUGGAAAGAUUUAUCGGCCAGGGAUGGGCUCGCGGCCUAUCAGCUAGUUGGUGGGGUAACGGCCUACCAAGGCGACGACGGGUA